rnacentral:rRNA from 1 species
AGUGAACGCUGGCAGUAGGCCUAACACAUGCAAGUCGAACGGCAGCACAGUAAGAGCUUGCUCUUACGGGUGGCGAGUGGCGGACGGGUGAGGAAUAAAUCGGAAUCUACUUUUCGUGGGGGAUAACGUAGGGAAACUUACGCUAAUACCGCAUACGACCUACGGGUGAAAGCAGGGGAUCUUCGGACCUUGCGCGAUUGAAUGAGCCGAUGUCGGAUUAGCUAGUUGGCGGGGUAAAGGCCCACCAAGGCGACGAUCCGUAGCUGGUCUGAGAGGAUGAUCAGCCACACUGGAACUGAGACACGGUCCAGACUCCUACGGGAGGCAGCAGUGGGGAAUAUUGGACAAUGGGCGCAAGCCUGAUCCAGCCACACCGCGUGGGUGAAGAAGGUCUUCGGGUUGUAAAGCCCUUUUGUUGGGAAAGAAAAGCAGCAGGUUAAUACCCCGCUGUUCUGACGGUACCCAAAGAAUAAGCACCGGCUAACUUCGUG